UUGAACGCUGGCGGCAGGCCUAACACAUGCAAGUCGAGCGCGAAAGGUUUUCGGACUGAGUAAAGCGGCGGACGGGUGAGUAACGCGUGGGAAUCUGCCCAGUAGUGGGGGACAACAGUCGGAAACGACUGCUAAUACCGCAUACGCCCUACGGGGGAAAGGGGGGGAUCUUCGGACCUCUCGCUAUUGGAUGAGCCCGCGUCGGAUUAGCUAGUUGGUAGGGUAAAGGCCUACCAAGGCUACGAUCCGUAACUGGUCUGAGAGGAUGAUCAGUCACACUGGAACUGCGACACGGUCCAGACUCCUACGGGAGGCAGCAGUGGGGAAUAUUGGACAAUGGGGGCAACCCUGAUCCAGCCAUGCCGCGUGUGUGAAGAAGGCCUUAGGGUUGUAAAGCACUUUCAGUGGGGAGAAAGGUUUGUCACCUAAUACGUGAUGAAAUUGAUGUUACCCACAGAAGAAGCACCGGCUAACUCCGUGCCAGCAGCCGCAGUAA
rnacentral:rRNA from 1 species